GGGCCCGCACAAGCGGUGGAGUAUGUGGUUUAAUUCGAUGCAACGCGAAGAACCUUACCAGGGUUUGACAUCCUGCGAAUCUCUUGGAAACAGGAGAGUGCCUUCGGGAACGCAGUGACAGGUGGUGCAUGGCUGUCGUCAGCUCGUGUCGUGAGAUGUUGGGUUAAGUCCCGCAACGAGCGCAACCCACGUCUUUAGUUGCCAGCAUUUAGUUGGGCACUCUGAAAGAACUGCCAGUGAUAAGCUGGAGGAAGGUGGGGAUGACGUCAAGUCCUCAUGGCCCUUACGUGUUGGGCUACACACGUACUACAAUGCUACGGACAAAGGGCAGCAAGUUCGCGAGGACAAGCAAAUCCCAUAAACCGUGGCUCAGUUCAGAUCGUAGGCUGCAACUCGCCUACGUGAAGGCGGAAUCGCUAGUAAUCG
rnacentral:rRNA from 1 species